rnacentral:rRNA from 1 species
UACGUAGGGUGCGAGCGUUGUCCGGAUUUAUUGGGCGUAAAGAGCUCGUAGGCGGCUUGUCGCGUCGAAUGUGAAAACUCGGGGCUCAACCCCGCGCUUGCAUUCGAUACGGGCAGGCUCGAGUUCGGUAGGGGAGACUGGAAUUCCUGGUGUAGCGGUGAAAUGCGCAGAUAUCAGGAGGAACACCGGUGGCGAAGGCGGGUCUCUGGGCCGAUACUGACGCUGAGGAGCGAAAGCGUGGGGAGCGAACAGG